rnacentral:rRNA from 1 species
AGGACGAACGCUGGCGGCGUGCUUAACACAUGCAAGUCGAGCGGUAAGGCCUUUCGGGGUACACGAGCGGCGAACGGGUGAGUAACACGUGGGUGAUCUGCCCUGCACUUCGGGAUAAGCCUGGGAAACUGGGUCUAAUACCGGAUAUGACCUCCUAUCGCAUGGUGGGUGGUGGAAAGAUUUAUCGGUGCAGGAUGGGCCCGCGGCCUAUCAGCUUGUUGGUGGGGUAAUGGCCUACCAAGGCGACGACGGGUAGCCGACCUGAGAGGGUGACCGGCCACACUGGGACUGAGACACGGCCCAGACUCCUACGGGAGGCAGCAGUGGGGAAUAUUGCACAAUGGGCGAAAGCCUGAUGCAGCGACGCCGCGUGAGGAUGAGGCCUUCGGGUUGUAAACCUCUUUCAGCAGGACGAAGCGCAAGUGACGGUACCUGCAGAAGAAGCACCGCUAACUACGUGCCAGCAGCCGC